UCGUAACAAGGUCUCCGUAGGUGAACCUGCGGAGGGAUCAUUAACGAGUGAGGGCUCCGGCCCGACCUCCAACCCUUUGUGAACCAGCCUCGUUGCUUCGGGGGCGACCCCGCCGUUCGCGCGGUCGGCGGCGCCCCCGGAGGCCAUCAAACACUGCGUAACUUUGCGUCGGAGUUUAAAUCAAAUUAAACAAAACUUUCAACAACGGAUCUCUUGGUUCUGGCAUCGAUGAAGAACGCAGCGAAAUGCGAUAAGUAAUGUGAAUUGCAGAAUUCAGUGAAUCAUCGAAUCUUUGAACGCACAUUGCGCCCCUUGGUAUUCCGGGGGGCAUGCCUGUUCGAGCGUCAUUACACCACUCAAGCCUGGCUUGGUAUUGGGUGCCGCGGGCCUCCCGCGCGCCUCAAAGUCUCUCCGGCUGAGCGGCUCCGUCUCUAAGCGUUGUGGCAACUAUUCGCGGUGAGAGGGGGCGGCGCGGCCGUUAAACUUUUCUCAAAGGUGA
rnacentral:rRNA from 1 species